rnacentral:rRNA from 1 species
ACGGGAGGCAGUAGUGGGGAAUAUUGGGCAAUGGACGAAAGUCUGACCCAGCGACGCCGCGUGAGGGAAGAAGGUCUUCGGAUUGUAAACCUUAGUUAUCGGGGAAGAAGAAGGUGACGGUACCCGAAGAGAAAGCCACGGCUAACUACGUGCCAGCAGCCGCGGUAAUACGUAGGUGGCGAGCGUUAUCCGGAUUUACUGGGUGUAAAGGGUGUGUAGGCGGGACUGCAAGUCAGAUGUGAAAACUAUGGGCUUAACUCAUAGCCUGCAUUUGAAACUGUGGUUCUUGAGUGUCGGAGAGGUAAAUGGAAUUCCCGGUGUAGCGGUGAAAUGCGUAGAUAUUAGGAGGAACACCAGUGGCGAAGGCGGCCUGCUGGACGACAACUGACGCUGAGGCGCGAAAGCGUGGGGAGCAAACAGGAUUAGAUACCCUAGUA